rnacentral:rRNA from 1 species
AUCGACANUNCCCGAUAAAUUUCACUUUAAAUAACCAAGUUUAUAUACCGCCAUCUUAAGAAUUAAAAUGAAAUUUUUCUCUAAAAAAUAAAUAAAAAGUUAGGUCAAGGUGUAAUUAAUAUUAAAGUCAAGAUGAAUUACAUUAAGCGCUACUUAAAGAUUAUAAACGAUAAUUUAUAUAAAUAAGAAUUUAAAAGUAAUAUUAGAACAAUAUUAUAAUAUGAUAAAGAUAAUAAAUGUGCACACAUCGCCC